GCUGGGUGUGGUGGCGCACACCUGUAAUCCCAGCUACUUGGGAGGCUGAGGUAGGAGAAUCGCUUGAACCCAGGAGGUGGAGGUUGCAGUCAGCCAAGAUGGUACCACUGCACUCCAGCCUGGGAGACAGAGUGAGACUCCAUCUCAA
rnacentral:SRP_RNA from 1 species